rnacentral:hammerhead_ribozyme from 1 species
AUCCAGAUGAAGAGUCCCAAAUAGGACGAAACGCGCGUCAAACUGGAU